GGACGAACGGCUGGCGGGCCGUGCCUAAUACAUGCAAGUCGAACGGCUUUUCUAUGGAAGCUUGCUCCACUGAGAAGAUAGUGGCGAACGGGUGAGUAACAACGUGGGUAACCUGCCCAUAAGAGGGGGGAGUAACAUCCGGAAACGGGUGCUAAUACCGCAUAGUUUUCUUGGUCGCAUGAUCGGGAAGGAAAGACGGCCUUUGUGCUGUCGCUUAUGGAUGGACCCGCGGCGUAUUAGUUAGUUGGUGAGGUAACGGCUCACCAAGACGAUGAUACGUAGCCGACCUGAGAGGGUGAUCGGCCACAUUGGGACUGAGACACGGCCCAAACUCCUACGGGAGGCAGCAGUAGGGAAUCUUCCGCAAUGGACGAAAGUCUGACGGAGCAACGCCGCGUGAGUGAAGAAAAGGUUUUCGGAUCGUAAAACUCUGUUGUCAGAGAAGAACAAGUUGGAGAGUAACUGCUCCAGCCUUGACGGUAUCUGACCAGAAAGCCACGGCUAACUACGUGCCAGCCGCUGC
rnacentral:rRNA from 1 species